GAUGAACACUGGCGGCGUGCCUAAUACAUGCAAGUCGAGCGAACGGACGAGAAGCUUGCUUCUCUGAUGUUAGCGGCGGACGGGUGAGUAACACGUGGAUAACCUACCUAUAAGACUAGGAUAACUUCGGGAAACCGGAGCUAAUACCGGAUGAUAUUUUGAACCGCAUGGUUCAAAAGUGAAAGACGGUCUUGCUGUCACUUAUAGAUGGAUCCGCGCUGCAUUAGCUAGUUGGUAAGGUAACGGCUUACCAAGGCAACGAUGCAUAGCCGACCUGAGAGGGUGAUCGGCCACACUGGAACUGAGACACGGUCCAGACUCCUACGGGAGGCAGCAGUAGGGAAUCUUCCGCAAUGGGCGAAAGCCUGACGGAGCAACGCCGCGUGAGUGAUGAAGGUCUUCGGAUCGUAAAACUCUGUUAUUAGGGAAGAACAUAUGUGUAAGUAACUGUGCACAUCUUGACGGUACCUAAUCAGAAAGCCACGGCUAACUACGUG
rnacentral:rRNA from 1 species